rnacentral:lncRNA from 1 species
UAUCAUAGAGCUACUCAGAUUGCAUUAGUUUAUUAAUUGUGACGUACAAGAGCAUAAAGCAACAAGGGGUUGUACGCGCUUAAAGUGUGGUUACUACUUCCAUUUUCUUACAACUGUCCCAAUUGUUGCAGUAAUUUGACGAUCCUUUAUGUGACGUUUAAUUUAUUUUAUAUGUCCACGUAGGGAAAUUGAUUGAGAUAAACCGUUGUGUUGUGAGGUGUGAUGGAAUCGUUGUGAUGAAUUUAAUAGAU